CAGUCGCUUUUGCACUUCCAUCUGAAGCUUGAGUGCUUCUGUAAUUUGCAUUCCACUACAAAAAUUAAGAAUGCAAUUUGUCAAAUCAAGUUUUGAAUUGAUUACCCAGAAUAAUCUAAAAGAGCAUAUCUGAACUUUUUAUUCAGAUCCUGCCCAUGGGUUUUCUUGAACUUUUCAAUGGCUCAAGCUCUACCAUGUGAUUCUAUGUUCUGGUACAAACAUGAAUUUUCUAAUUUUAAAACUUCAACAAACAUUUAAAUAUGACCUAUUUAAACAAAUCAAAAAGGAAAAAAGAGAGAGAGAGAGAGAG
rnacentral:misc_RNA from 1 species